GUCAUAAAUCAAGGCAAGUGCAUGGACAUGCAGUUCCAAUCGCUUGCUCAACAAUCAAUCUUUUUAAUUGUUUUAUUUUCCUGCCUGUCUGGUGUUCUCUUUCACUUGUCUGUCACUUAAGGACUAUUUGGAUGUCAUUCACAGCUUUAAUCAGGUUUUUAAGCUUCUAUUUGUUGUUUGAAGUCCUCCCAGCCUCUUCACGGUGUUCAAUAAAUCAGCGUAAAAGUCUGAGGGGGCAUCUCGCCUGAAGUUUGUAUGGAAUUGCAAUCUAAACUGACGUUUGUAGAGGUUCUCCCUCUUCUGACAUGCCUCUCCCUUCCUCCCUGUGUCCCCUGCUUGUUCUUUUUCCACUGCAGGGAAAGACAUAAACACGUGAAGCCCCAGAGCCAAGAUGGACACCUGCCUACUGCCAUGGUCCCUAUACAGAGUCACGGAAACAGAGCAAAUAUGGUCCCUGGACCCAGCAGCUCUGGCCCCGGCCUACUGGUAUUACUCAAAACGAUGGCACGUAAUGUGUCUAAAAUACAGCAAGUAGAGAACGGGCAGUGAAGUGACAGACAGGAAUCUCUUGGAUGGAUCCAUACCUGCACUUGCGUUUCAUGUUUCAGUCAUUUAGCAAACAUUUUUAUCCAGAGAGACUUGCUCAAGGGCUCAACAUGCUUGCAUUGUAUUUUGGAUUUGACUGAUGCAAAUAUUCUUGUCACUGGCAGUAUUCUAACACAUUGUUUGGUUUGCAUUGCUUAAAUAAUAUAUUGAUGGUAACAGAGAAUGUCAGACAGAUCCAAUGAGACAUUAAACACAGUGAGAGACUGCAUUUCUUUAAAAGAUAUGCCCUAAUUACAUUUUCAUCUGAAAUAUGUGAGAAGAUAGAAUGUGGAUUCUAUUGGAGUAAUGCUGGGACAGAGGCAGUACUAGUUUCAAGGUUUAUUUCUCAAAUGCACCAAACAACACAGCGCCAUCCUGCACAAUGAAAUUCUUGUGACAUGGCACCUGACAACUAUGUAGCGAGAAUUAACAAGAAAAUUAAAUAAGCUAAAAUAUAGCCAAACAAAAAAUAAAGCAAUAAUAUACUGUGCACUUGCAGUACUGUAAACUGGCAGCAGUCUUGGUAGUAGUAUUAAACAUUAUAGAUAUGGCAAGUAUAGCAAUACUAUACAUAACGAUGUAAUUUGGUAGAAUUAUUGAAUAUUAUAGCAUAUUAUAGAUACAUAUGAGUGUAAUAAGCUUAUGAGUUGUGGCAUAGCACAAUUCAGCAAAUUCACUUUUCAGCAAAUUUAACUUGUUUAGCUUCUAAGGUUUUUAUUGCCGCUAUAGCCCUUCUGGGACAUUUGAUGCACAAGGCCUUCUGGCACAGAGCUGAUUGUGAGCUACCUACCACGAUUCCAGCAUAUUGCAGCCUUACCAUUGUAAAGCAGUCUGGGUUGAGUAGCCGACGCUAAUGCGAACAAUUAUUCUACACUUAUUACAGUGUAUUAUUUUUAACAGUUAUAUUGUUCGGUCUACUUGUGCGUUCAAUAAAACCUUAUUUGAAACAGACA
rnacentral:lncRNA from 1 species